GACGAACUCUGGCGGCGUGCCUAAUACAUGCAAGUAGAACGCCGUUGCGAACGGGUGAGUAACGCGUAGGUAACUGCCUCAUAGCGGGGGAUAACUAUUGGAAACGAUAGCUAAUACCGCAUACUGUGAGAUGGACCUGUUUUGUAUUAGCUAGUUGGUGAGGUCAAGGCUUACCAAGGCGACGCUAUAUAGCCGACCUGAGAGGGUGAGUGGCCCCACGGGGACUUAGACACGGCACAGAAUCCUACGGGAGGCAGCAGUAGCGAAACUGUGGCAAUGGACGGAAGUCUUAGCGAGCAACGCCGCGUGAGUGAAGAAGUUUUUCGGAUCGUAAAGCUCUGUUGUUAGAGAAGCGGUAAAUAACCAGAAAGGGACGGCUAACUACGUGCCAGCAGCCGCGGUAAUUC
rnacentral:rRNA from 1 species